CAUUUACGACUGUGUCGCUGGCAGUGUCUGUUAACUCAGUGUGCCCAGGGCUGCUUGGACAAAGUCAGAGGGCCAUUAUGGGCCAUAUAGUUGAGAUUAUGAAACCAUCACAUACACUGUUGUCCUGUUUUUGUCAUUCUGAACACUGUCUGAAGGCAGAGGUUAUUAGGAGUGUGAAAUAUAAUGGAUAAUUUCUACCUUAAAUUCUGAGCUCAGUCAUUGGAGUUGAUGGCUCCCGAGGCAGUCGGGAGGCAUUAGAGGUUUUCAAAGGAAGGAGCACAGCUGGGAACCUCGUGUGCAGAAUGCCAACCUUCUAAGAGGUGCCUUUCAGACUCUGCAUUGCUGAUCCUUUGAACGUGCCCUCUGCAGUAGUUGAGCCCGGUGUCGUCUUGGCUGUGUGUGGCUCUGCUGUUCCAGCAGGAAGAUGGACGGAACAUAAUUAGCCUCAAACGGAACCAUGUGAACAUCACGUCAAUGGCAUGUGGGGCUGCCAGGAACAGCAGGGAGUGGCCUGGGUGGGAAGCUUCCCUAGGGCCCUGCCAUGCUGCCGGGAGAGCACCCCCAAAGGUAAGGCCUUUGCCAUUCUGUUUGGUUACUGGGAUCUUGACUCCAUUGGUAGGAAGACUUCACUGAGGAACAU